GAUGAACGCUGGCGGCGUGCCUAAUACAUGCGAGUCGAGCGAACAGACGAGGAGCUUGCUCCUCUGACGUUAGCGGCGGACGGGUGAGUAACACGUGGAUAACCUACCUAUAAGACUGGGAUAACUUCGGGAAACCGGAGCUAAUACCGGAUAAUAUAUUGAACCGCAUGGUUCAAUAGUGAAAGACGGUUUUGCUGUCACUUAUAGAUGGAUCCGCGCCGCAUUAGCUAGUUGGUAAGGUAACGGCUUACCAAGGCAACGAUGCGUAGCCGACCUGAGAGAGUGGUCGGCCACACUGGAACUGGGACACGGUCCAGACUCCUACGGGAGGCAGCAGUAGGGAAUCUUCCGCAAUGGGCGAAAGCUUGACGGAGCAACGCCGCGUGAGUGAUGAAGGUCUUCGGAUCGUAAAACUCUGUUAUUAGGGAAGAACAAAUGUGUAAGUAACUAUGCACGUCUUGACGGUACCUAAUCAGAAAGCCACGGCUAACUACGUG
rnacentral:rRNA from 1 species